GUGCCCUUCAGCCCAGGUCUCUAUGCCAACCAGGCUGAAAUCCUUUUGAGCAAACACCAGCUCCGAGGUCAGGGUCUUUGGUGCCCCAGAGGUUCUGGAGAACUUGGAGGUGAAAUCCGGGUCCCCGGCCAUGCUGGCCUUGGUGAAGAAGUCUCUUGGGUGGCCCAGCUUCAUCACAUACACGGUCGGCGUCUUGGAAUCCGCGGCGGCAGCAGGGGGCCUCUGUCCACUACCCUGACCUCCUCCAGCCCCGAGACUAACCGAGCCUUUUACCUCUCUUUUCCCACCUGUUUCCUUUCUCAUCUCACCUCCCAAAUAAAACUCUGUUGAGAUUU